CGUUGUCGUGAGUCGGACACCCGUGCCGUCGCUAGAGUUUUUCAAACUCUGCUUCUGGAUAUCGGGACGAAAGACCGCGCGAGGACGACGGAUGCGAGUCCCAUCGAAUUUUUGACUUACACACUACCUGAACGAGACUUAAAGUUUCAUAUAAUAUACCGUUCAGAGGGGACCGGCUGUCUUUCCUCGUUGUCGUGAGUCGGACACCCGUGCCGUCGCUAGAGUUUUUCAAACUCUGCUUCUGGAUAUCGGGACGAAAGACCGCGCGAGGACGACGGAUGCGAGUCCCAUCGAAUUUUUGAUUUACACACUACCUGAACGAGACUUAAAUUUAUCAUCGCAUAACCCGUUCGGAGGGGACCGGCUGUCUAUCCUCGUUGUCGUGAGUCGGACACCCGUGCCGUCGCUAGAAGUUUUUCAAACUCUGCUUCUGGAUAUUGGGACGAAAGACCGCUCGAGGACGACGACAGCCGUGCGUGCGUAUCCCAUCGAAUUUUUUUUACACCACCUGAACGAGACUAAAGUUUCGUCUAGUUGAUCGUCUACCGUCGCAUAAUGUAUAUUAUAUACCGUUCAGAGGGGACCGGCUGUCUAUCCUCGUUGUCGUGAGUCGGACACCCGUGCCGUCGCUAGAGUUUUUCAAACUCUGCUUCUGGAUAUCGGGACGAAAGACCGCGCGAGGACGACGGAUGCGAGUCCCAUCGAAUUUUUGACUUACACACUACCUGAACGAGACUUAAAGUUUCAUAUUAUAUACCGUUCAGAGGGGACCGGCUGUCUAUCCUCGUUGUCGUGAGUCGGACACCCGUGCCGUCGCUAGAGUUUUUCAAACUCUGCUUCUGGAUAUCGGGACGAAAGACCGCGCGAGGACGACGGAUGCGAGUCCCAUCGAAUUUUUGACUUACACACUACCUGAACGAGACUUAAAGUUUCAUAUUAUAUACCGUUCAGAGGGGACCGGCUGUCUAUCCUCGUUGUCGUGAGUCGGACACCCGUGCCGUCGCUAGAGUUUUUCAAACUCUGCUUCUGGAUAUCGGGACGAAAGACCGCGCGAGGACGACGGAUGCGAGUCCCAUCGAAUUUUUGACUUACACACUACCUGAACGAGACUUAAAGUUUCAUAUAAUAUACCGUUCAGAGGGGACCGGCUGUCUUUCCUCGUUGUCGUGAGUCGGACACCCGUGCCGUCGCUAGAAGUUUUUCAAACUCUGCUUCUGGAUAUCGGGACGAAAGACCGCGCGAGGACGACGGAUGCGAGUCCCAUCGAAUUUUUGACUUACACACUACCUGAACGAGACUUAAAGUUUCAUAUUAUAUACCGUUCAGAGGGGACCGGCUGUCUU